rnacentral:rRNA from 1 species
GAAUGACCGGAGUCGAUAAAAAUCACUCGCUGAAUUUAAGCAUAUAAUUAAGCGAAGGAAAAGAAACCAACAAGGAUUCUCUUAUUAGCGGCGAGCGAAAAGGGAACAGUGCAGAAUGUGAAUUCAUAGUGGCAACAUUAUGAAGUUGUGCAUUUGUACAAAUACAGGAAGUCAUUAUAUAAUACUAAAUGUUCAUGAUUGACAUAUGAUAAAUGGUGAAAAUCCAGUAGUAUUAUAUAAGAUGGAAUUGUAUUAGUACGGCUGAGUCACGCUCCUUGAGAGUGGAGUGCAAAUAUGGUGGUAAUUUUCAUCAAACACUAAAUAUAAUUAGGAAACCGAUAGCAAACAAGUACUGUGAAGGAAAGUUGAAAAGAACUUCGAAAGGAGAGUGAAAAGACCUGAAAUCGUUAUAAGGGAAGCGGGCUUAUUGAUGUCAAAGCAAUUUGAGCAUUAAUUUUAUUUGAAUAGAAUAAAUAAUGUAUAGUUAAUAAGCACGACCCGUCUUGAAACACGGACCAAGGAGUUAGUAAAUUGUGCGAGUAUAAGAGUGAAAAACUCGUAUGCGUAGUGAAAGCAAAAUCUAUGAGUCUGACUUCAAGGAUGCAAUAGAGACCAAAUUAUCAUAUUUGAGUUUUAGCAUAAUUUAUUAGACCCGAAAGAUGGUGAUCUAUACCUGAGUUGGGUGAAGCCAGAGGAAACUCUGGUGGAGGCUCGUAGCGAUACUGACGUGCAAAUCGUUCGUCGAACUUGGGCAUAGGGGCGAAAGACUAAUCGAACCAUCUAGUAGCUGGUUCCCUCCGAAGUUUCCCUCAGGAUAGCUGGAAGUGGUACAGUUAGAUUCGGUAAAGAUAAUGAUUAGAGGUAUCUGUGCACAAUUAUGUGGCGGGCCUAUUCUCAAACUUUAAAUGGGUCUGCAAUUUAUCUAAUUAAUGUUAGAUACUUUGGAAAAUGUUACUUCUUAGUGGGCCAGUUUUGGUAAGCAGAACUGGCGAUGAGGGAUGCUCCUAACGUUUGAAUAAGGUGUCAAAUAAUCGCUUAUCAGAUACCACAAAAGGUGUUGGUUCAUUGAGACAGCAGGGCGGUGGCCAUGGAAGUCGGAAUCCGCUAAGGAAUGUGUAACAACUCACCUGCCGAAUGAACUAGCCCUGAAAAUGGAUGACGCUCAAGCGAUUAACCGAUAUCAAACCAUUUACAGCGUGAUUGUGAAUGUGUAGGAGGGCGUGAAUAUGACAUAGAAGGUUUACGUGUGAACGUGACUGGAGUCGUAUUUAGUGCAGAUCUUGGUGUUAGUAGCAACUAGUCGUAUGAGAAUUGCGAUGACCGAAGUGGAUGAGGGUUCCGAGCGAACAGUGUUUGGACUCGGGUUAGUCGGUCCUAAGGGGAUGCUUAAUAAGCUGAAACAGUUGUGAACAACGAUCCUCGAAAGGGAAUAAGGCAAAAAUUCCUUAACUGCUAACAACAUUUGUGGUGACACAGAGUAGAUCGGCUUUGUUAUUGAUUAUUUUGGGAAGCGUUUUCAUUGCUUUUUAAAUCAUUAAGUCUUUGGAAUCGAAUCAAUCGUAGAAAAAGAGUAUGAUGAUGAAUAAUGGCUUAUUUUGAGUCAUCCGAACAAUAAUCAAUAACCUAUGAAAAGGUAGAUUAAAUGUGUGUUGUUGGUAUCCGUACCCUAANACCUUCGGAAUAAGGAUUGGCUCUGAGGACUUUAUUUAACACAAGAUAGCAAUAAAUUUGAAUUGGCUUCGGUCAGUUUGAAGUGAGCUAUUUUGAAUUAGGCAACUAAUGCGUUAAAUGUUUAUUAAGUCAUCUCAGAACUGGUGUGGACAAGGGGAAUCUGACUGUUUAAUUAAAACAAAGCAUUGCGAUACGGUACAAACCUUUUUACGCAAUGUGAUUUCUGCCCAGUGCUCUGAAUGUCAUCGCGGUGAAAUUCGCUUAAGCGCGGGUAAACGGCGGGAGUAACUAUGACUCUCUUAAGGUAGCCAAAUGCCUCGUCGUCUAAUUAAUGACGCGCAUGAAUGGAUUAACGAGAUUCCUACUGUCCCCAACUGCCAUCUAGCGAAACCACAGCCAAGGGAACGGGCUUGGCAAAAUAAGCGGGGAAAGAAGACCCUGUUGAGCUUGACUCUAGUCUGAUUUUGUCGAGUGACUUAUGGGGUAGAGAAUACGUGGGAGUUACGCAAGUAACAAUCGUGAAAUACCACGACCUAUAAUGUUGCUCAACUUACUCUAUAAAGUAAAAGUAUCUUUUGAUAUUGUGGAAUCAAACGCAUUUAUUGCGUGAUUUACGUAGAGAACAUAUUCAGAUGGGGAGUUUGGCUGGGGCGGCACAUCUGCUAAACAACAACGCAGAUGCCCUAAGGUUGACUCAAAGAGACCAGAAAUCUCUUGUAGAUUGAAAGGGGAAAAGUCAGCUUGAUUCUGAUUUUCAGUGCGAAUACGAACUGCGAAAGCAUGGCCUAUCGAUCCUUUAAGUCCAGAAAAGUUCUGGCUAGAGGUGACAGAAAAGUUACCACAGGGAUAACUGGCUUGUGGCAGCCAAGCGUUCAUAGCGACGUUGCUUUUUGAUCCUUCGAUGUCGGCUCUUCCUAUCAUUGAGACGCAGAAGUCUCAAAAUGUCGGAUUGUUCACCCGCUAAUAGGGAACGUGAGCUGGGUUUAGACCGUCGUGAGACAGGUUAGUUUUACCCUACUUAUUAAUAGUACAUUGACAGUAAGGCAACUUAGUACGAGAGGAACUGUUGCCUCAAGCCUCUGGUAACGCGACUGGUUGGCAAACCAGUGUUGCAAAGCUACGCUUGUAGGAUAAUGACUGAACGCCUCUAAGUCAGAAACCUAGCUGAAAAUAUGUUCUUAUAUAGUAGAUUAAAAUGACUUUACAAAUCAUAUUCAACUCAAUAGGAUGAAUUCUGUGAAAAGAUGAAAUCCAUAAAAAAGUCUACUAUAAACAUUUCUAUACAGACGAUU